UUCCCCUGCACAGCAGCCAGCCUGGAACACACAGAGGCCAGAGGGUUGGUCAGAGCCACAUGGUGGAAACUCCAGCAGAGGGAUUUUUAAAGCAGCUGCACCGCCAGUUCCAGGGAGGGCCCUGGGCCAGCGGCUGUCCGUCCGCCCUCCUUUAUAAAGUCCUGGCCUCGGGACAGCCCGCACAGCUGCCCAGCCUGUGGAGACGGGACAGCCCUGUCCCACUCACUCUUUCCCCUGCCGCUCCUGCCGGCAGCUCAGCUCGAACCAUGGGAGGCCGCGUCUUUCUCGCAUUCUGUGUCUGGCUGACUCUGCCGGGAGCUGAAACCCAGGACUCCAGGGGCUGUGCCCGGUGGUGCCCUCAGAACUCCUCGUGUGUCAAUGCCACCGCCUGUCGCUGCAAUCCAGGGUUCAGCUCUUUUUCUGAGAUCAUCACCACCCCCACGGAGACUUGUGAUGACAUCAACGAGUGUGCAACACCGUCGAAAGUGUCAUGCGGAAGAUUCUCGGACUGCUGGAACACAGAGGGGAGCUACGACUGCGUGUGCAGCCCAGGAUAUGAGCCUGUUUCUGGGGCAAAAACAUUCAAGAAUGAGAGCGAGAACACGUGUCAAGAUGUGGACGAAUGUCAGCAGAACCCAAGGCUCUGUAAAAGCUACGGCACCUGCGUCAACACCCUCGGCAGCUACUCGUGCCAGUGCCUGCCUGGCUUCAAGCUCAAACCUGAGGACCCGAAGCUCUGCACAGAUGUGAAUGAAUGCACCUCCGGACAAAACCCGUGCCACAGCUCCACCCACUGCCUCAACAACGUGGGCAGCUAUCAGUGCCGCUGCCGCCCGGGCUGGCAACCGAUUCCGGGGUCCCCCAAUGGACCAAACAAUACCGUCUGUGAAGAUGUGGACGAGUGCAGCUCCGGGCAGCAUCAGUGUGACAGCUCCACCGUCUGCUUCAACACCGUGGGUUCAUACAGCUGCCGCUGCCGCCCAGGCUGGAAGCCCAGACACGGAAUCCCGAAUAACCAAAAGGACACUGUCUGUGAAGAUAUGACUUUCUCCACCUGGACCCCGCCCCCUGGAGUCCACAGCCAGACGCUUUCCCGAUUCUUUGACAAAGUCCAGGAACUGGGCAGAGACUACAAGCCAGGCUUGGCCAAUAACAUCAUCCAGAGCAUCUUACAGGCGCUGGAUGAGCUGCUGGAGGCCCCUGGGGACCUGGAGACCCUGCCCCGCUUACAGCAGCACUGUGUGGCCAGUCACCUGCUGGAUGGCCUAGAGGAUGUCCUCAGAGGCCUGAGCAAGAACCUUUCCAAUGGGCUGUUGAACUUCAGUUAUCCUGCAGGCACAGAAUUGUCCCUGGAGGUGCAGAAGCAAGUAGACAGGAGUGUCACCUUGAGACAGAAUCAGGCAGUGAUGCAGCUGGACUGGAAUCAGGCACAGAAAUCUGGUGACCCAGGCCCUUCUGUGGUGGGCCUUGUCUCCAUUCCAGGGAUGGGCAAGUUGCUGGCUGAGGCCCCCCUGGUCCUGGAACCUGAGAAGCAGGUGCUUCUGCAUGAGACACACCAGGGCUUGCUGCAGGACGGCUCCCCUAUCCUGCUCUCAGAUGUGAUCUCUGCCUUUCUGAGCAACAACGACACCCAAAACCUCAGCUCCCCAGUUACCUUCACCUUCUCCCACCGUUCAGUGAUCUCGAGACAGAAGGUGCUCUGUGUCUUCUGGGAGCAUGGCCAGAAUGGAUGUGGUCACUGGGCCACCACAGGCUGCAGCACAAUAGGCACCAGAGACACCAGCACCAUCUGCCGUUGCACCCACCUGAGCAGCUUUGCCGUCCUCAUGGCCCACUACGAUGUGCAGGAGGAGGAUCCCGUGCUGACUGUCAUCACCUACAUGGGGCUGAGCGUCUCUCUGCUGUGCCUCCUCCUGGCGGCCCUCACUUUUCUCCUGUGUAAAGCCAUCCAGAACACCAGCACCUCACUGCAUCUGCAGCUCUCGCUCUGCCUCUUCCUGGCCCACCUCCUCUUCCUCGUGGCAAUUGAUCAAACCGGACACAAGGUGCUGUGCUCCAUCAUCGCCGGUACCUUGCACUAUCUCUACCUGGCCGCCUUCACCUGGAUGCUGCUGGAGGCCCUGUACCUCUUCCUCACUGCACGGAACCUGACGGUGGUCAACUACUCAAGCAUCAACAGAUUCAUGAAGAAGCUCAUGUUCCCUGUGGGCUACGGAGUCCCAGCUGUGACAGUGGCCAUUUCUGCAGCCUCCAGGCCUCACCUUUAUGGAACACCUUCCCGCUGCUGGCUCCAACCAGAAAAGGGAUUUAUAUGGGGCUUCCUUGGACCUGUCUGCGCCAUCUUCUCUGAUGCUGGCAUUUAAAGCGACAGCUCAGCUGUUCAUCCUGGGCUGCACGUGGUGUCUGGGCAUCUUGCAGGUGGGUCCGGCUGCCCGGGUCAUGGCCUACCUCUUCACCAUCAUCAACAGCCUACAGGGUGUCUUCAUCUUCCUGGUGUACUGCCUCCUCAGCCAGCAGGUCCGGGAGCAAUAUGGGAAAUGGUCCAAAGGGAUCAGGAAAUUGCAAACUGAGUCUGAGAUGCACACACUCUCCAGCAGUGCUAAGGCUGACACCUCCAAACCCAGCACGGUUAACUAGAAAAAUCUUCUGAAUAAGAUCUUCCCUCUGCCCGUGGAAAAUCUGAACAAUCUUUGAGCCAUCUAGAGGGGAAAGAAAAGACUUUGUUCUGUGUGUUUCAAGAAAUUCACCAUGUCAGCACUAUGCAGGAUGUUAUGGAAGGCAUGCUUGGCAUUCAAUUCCUGAAGAAACGAGAAAUCUUCCAUGCCCUGCAAUGUGCUCAUCAAACUCUCAGCAUAUGGAUGGCCAGCUGUGGCCCAUAUCUUGGUCACUCUGAAGCACAAUAUUUAUGAAGCUAUAGAACGUUAAGACCUCUUUCACAGCCUCUCCUUCCUACAAAGACUCCUCCAAAUCUUAAAAUGAAGCAGGAGAACGAGCCUAAGCGGACUUUUAUACCAACAACAUCUGAAAUGACUAGAAUGUUCACACCACGAUCUGGAUUUCUUAAUUUUUGUUGUUGUUGUUGUUGUACUCUAGUUCUACGGGUUUGAUUAUUUAGUCAUGUGAAAAAUAUUGGUUACUCACACAUAGAUCAAGAGAGACACGGCUCCUGCCUUCAUGGAGCUUUUAGGGGAAAAUGAAGUGGCUCUUGCAGCUAGAGUUGACUCAGAAGCUGAAAUUCCUAGAAAUCAGGUUUCUACUGCUAGGCAAUUGAAGUAUAAACUAUUUUAUAAACACUGUCUUCUUUCAUCUUCACACCAACAUGCAGAAAAGUUUCUAAUCUCAGAUCAGGGAUGUGCAACAAAUUCCAUUUCAAAGGAAUGACCUGCAAAACUCCUAAAUAUUCCAAGCAAAUGCCCUUAACCCUGUCUGUUAUCUGCUUUCCUUGAACAGAAAUUCUACAUGACCAUAAAACCUCGAAGAUGGGUAUGGCACAGUUCAUGCCCUGUAAUCCUAGCACUUUGGGAGGGUGAGGCAGGAGGAUGGCUCAAGCCCAGGAGUUUGAGACCAGCGUGGGCAACAGAGUGAGAACCAUCUCUACCCAAAAAAAAAAUUAAAAAUUAGCCAAGCAUGGUGAUGAUAUAGGAGUUAAGGAGAAAUCAUUUAGGCAAAUAGCAAGGGUAGGAAGUCCUCAGUAAGGUUUUCCAUUUAAUGAAAAGCAGCCCCCAAAAUCACUUUCUUUUCUAACAAAAAACAGCCUGUAAAAUCGAGCUGCAGACAUAGACAAGCAAGCUGGAAGCUUCCACGGGUGAAUGCUGGCAGCUGUGCCAAUAGGAAAAAGCUACCUAGACUAGGCAUGUCCAAAAUGGCGGCUCCAAGUUCCCUUCUCUUUGCCAGCCAUGUGUACAGUAAAAAGCAGGCAACAUAGUGUCAGCCAAAGCUCAUUUGCAUAAUAAGAUUAGGGUGGGGUGGCCAGCUUACAUAGGGGUAGGCCCUAGGUAAAUCAGACACCGCCUUCUCAAGCCUGUCUAUAAAAUCUGGUACACUAUGACGAGGGUCAGAUUUCCCAUUCAGACGCCCCUCUCCCAUGCAAGAGAAAGAGCUGUUUUCCUUUCUCUUUCUUUUGCCUAUUAAACCUCUGCUCCUGGCCAGGCACAGUGGCUCACACCUAUAAUCCCAGCACUUUGGGAGGCUGAGGUGGUCAGAUCACCUAAGGUCAGGAGUUCAAGACCAGCCUGGUCAACAUGGUGAAAUCUUGUCUCUAGUAAAAAUACAAAAAUAUAUGAAAUCUCACAUAGAUGAUAAUAUUAAGUUCCAAAAGCAACUCAACCUGGUAGAUCUUAAUUUUUUUUGAGGCAGGGUCUUGCUUUGUCACCCAUGCUGGAGUACAAUGGCACAAACACUGCUCACUGCAGCCUUGACCUCCCAAGGCCUAAGCAAUCCUCCUGCCUCAGUCCCCCUCCAAGUAGCUGAAACUACAGGUGUGUACCACCACACCUGGCUAAUUUUUGUAUUUUUUGUAGAGACGUGGGUCUCACUAUGCUGCCCAGGCUCAGUUCUUAAUCUCCUGAGCUCAGGCGAUCCGCAGGCCUCCGCCUCCCUAAGUGCAGGGAUUACAGGCUUGAGCCACUGCACCUAGCCUCUAUUUGUUUUACAAAAGAGAAAUUGAGAUCCUGAAUAUUAAGUGACUUGCCUGAGGCCAUCCCACUAACAGGAGCCAGGGUUAGGAUUCAAACCCCAUCCAACUGGUCCCAGAGCUGGAGCUUCUUGCACUGCCCUACACUACCUACCAUCUCCAUCCUCUGGGCACCUUUUUAUAAGAACCAAAACAUUACAGAGCAUUGCUUUGUCAACUCAGCUGGGAACAUUUCCCAGUGUAACUCACAUUUUUCACUGCUCUGUGCCUGUCUGUAUAAGCUCAAUGAGUAUUGAUUUAGGGGCUUUGGAGAACUUUGAAUGCUACCCCCCAAGUAACCAUUGUUGGCAACCUGGUACCUCUACUUUUAGCCAUUUCUCCUUCUCUAUAAAUAGUGCAGAAGUAACCCACUUGGUAACAGGCAUCCUUGCCAAGCCUCCACCACUAGGUCAGUGUAAGAAUUAAAGAAAGAGGAAAGAAACACGAAAAGUGGCUUGAUGGUUAAGACAGGUUUAUUUUAGAGAAAACACACCUGAGAGGGGCUGCUGGCCGAAUUAGGUUAGAGUCUUUUCUACAGACUAAGAGUGUUUAAGGAUUUAGGGUGGGAGAGUUUCUUAGAGGCUUGGACUGCUUCUGUGUUUUUUUGUUGUGCUUAUAUGGGAGGGAGAGUGGUGUGUUUGCUUUUAUACAUUUUUCUGCAGCUGUAGGCAUACCCCCCAAGUCUGCUUUUAGCUUCCCUAUUUUAGUGCACCUGGAGGGAAAGGAAUGUGCUUAUUAAGGCCCACUGUUUUACUGGGGCCCAUUGUAUGAGGGUGAAGUUUGGCAGUUACCCAAGAGACUUUUCCUUCACCUUCCUCUGUGCCCGAGCUGUUUUAUCUGCAUUUUACUGUCUGCUUUUUUUGGCUGCUUAUAGUUUUUAAAAAAGUAAUUUCCUUAAAUCCAGAAGGCUAAAAAUGAAGCUGAAACUUAAAGUGGCGGUGUUUGUCCAAAAUAACGGGGCUCCUGCUCUGCCAGUCAGUACCCUCAAGUCACUCCUGAUCCUCAACCUCCAUGCCUAAGGCUGGUUCAAGAGACCACAUAAUAUCUGCCUUUUAUUACAUACAUGAUGGGUGCAAGGGAUUCUGCAUGCCCUUUGCUUGAUAUAGACUGCUAAGGUGAGAUGGGGAAUAUCAGAGUCAGCUGCUGCUUGAGGAAGCAGAACACACAGCUGGAGGCUUGGAACAUGUGGGUCCCUAUGAGUGUAGAGCCCAUAUCCCCAUAGAGUCUACCUAGAGCAGGGGUCGCCAAACGUUUUCUUAAAGAGCCUGAUAGUGUAUAUGUUAGGCUUUGUGAGCCAGGUAUUUACAGCAACUCAGUUCUACCACUGUGGUAUGAAAACAGCUAUAGACAAUCAUAAAUGAAUGAUCAUGGUUAUGUUUUAAUAAAACUUUACAGACACUGAACUUGAACUUCCAUUGUGAUAUGAAAACAGCUAUAGACAAUCAUAAAUGAAUGAUCGUGGCUAUGUUUUAAUAAAACUUUAUGGACACUGA